rnacentral:rRNA from 1 species
ACAUUCUUACAUCAUAGCAUUAACACACCAGAUCCCAUUAGAACUCUGCAGUUAUGUGCGCUCACGAUAGAUUAGUAUUGGGAUGGGUGACCUUUCGGGAAGUCCUUGUGUUUCACAUGCC